rnacentral:rRNA from 1 species
UACAGAGGGCGCAAGCGUUAUUCGGAUUCACUGGGCAUAAAGAGCACGUAGGCGGCUACGUAAGUCGGAUGUGAAAUCCCGCGGCUCAACCGCGGAAUGGCAUCCGAUACUGUGUGGCUCGAGGUCGGAAGGGGUAAGCGGAACUCCAGGUGGAACGGUGAAAUGUGUAGAUAUCUGGAGGAACACCGGUGGCGAAGGCGGCUUACUGGUCCGAAUCUGACGCUGAGGUGCGAAAGCUAGGGGAGCGAACGGG